rnacentral:rRNA from 1 species
UACGUAGGGUGCGAGCGUUAAUCGGAAUUACUGGGCGUAAAGCGUGCGCAGGCGGUUUUGUAAGCCAGAUGUGAAAUCCCCGGGCUUAACCUGGGAAUGGCAUUUGGGACUGCAAGGCUCGAGUGCGGCAGAGGAGACUGGAAUUCCUGGUGUAGCAGUGAAAUGCGUAGAUAAUCAGGAGGAACACCGAUGGCGAAGGCAGGUCUCUGGGCUGACACUGACGCUCAUGCACGAAAGCGUGGGGAGCAAACGAGGAUU